rnacentral:rRNA from 1 species
UACGGAGGGGGCAAGCGUUAUUCGGAAUUAUUGGGCGUAAAGGGCUCGUAGGCGGUUUGUCGCGUCGGGAGUGAAAAUCCAGGGCUUAACUCUGGACUGGCUUCCGAUACGGGCAGACUAGAGGUAUGCAGGGGAGAACGGAAUUCCUGGUGUAGCGGUGAAAUGCGUAGAUAUCAGGAGGAACACCGGUGGUGUAGACGGCUUUCUGGACCGUAACUGACGCUGAGACACGAAAGCGUGGGUAGCAAACAGG